rnacentral:lncRNA from 1 species
AGGUGGUAAAUCCUGGCCAAGGCUCCUCGAGCCAGGCCGGCUGGCAGUGCUGCAUCGUGCUGAAGGCGCUGAGGUUGCAGCGGAUGCAUUCCGGGCCAGUGAUAUGAUGUGGACAGGAAAAGUCUUUUGUUCUGGGAAAAUGGAGGACUGAAACCUCUUCAUGUCUUUUUCCCAGGCCCUGAUUUAGGAAGACCAAAACAGGGACUUCUACAGUAGCAGCUUAAUCAGCAGAUGCUGGGUGGUCGCCUCUGCACAUGGCCUGGGGGGCGGGGCGCCUUACCGCGUCACACUGGGUGGAUGGGCCUGUGUGUGGCCUCUCUCCAGCUGUGGCUGACAGUACUCACUCAGCCCAGGCUUCCAGGCCCUCCUGGGCCCUCCUAUCCACUGAAGGAAAUGGGAGAUGAGUGGGUAAUGGAAAAGCCUUUGGAGUCAGAUGUAAAUCCAUGACUUGACCACUUAUUGCUGUGAGACCCUGGACAGCUGGAUAUAGAGUUCUUGUUCUAGCAUCCGCCCUGGGAAUCCCCGGAACUGGGCCUCUUACCGACACCAUUGCCUGUAAUCCACAAACCUAGGAGCACAUGGUUAAAGCAUGAGAUGUGAAACCAGGAAGAACCAGGUCUGAACCUUAGCUCCACCAGUGGUAGCUUCAAACCUUGGUCCUUUCUGAGCCUGCUUCUUCAACCGUAAGGAACUCGGAAACGGGACCCAGAAAGUUGUUUUCUCAAGUGGAUGGAACAACACAAGCAAUCAAUGCAAUUUUACCAGACCAAAAACUGUCUAUAAAGAACAAAAUUAGUGGCCAGGUGCAGUGGCUCAUGUCUGUAAUUCCAGCACUUUGAGAGGAUGAGGUGGGAGGAUUACUUAAGCCCAGGAGUUCAAGACAAGCCUGGGCAACAUAGCAAGAUCCUGUCUUUACCAAAAAAACAAAAACAAAACAAAAAAACACAAAAUUAGUAGUUUCCAAGUUUUUCUUUCGUUAGUAUCAAUUUUUUAUUUGUUCUGUUUGCACCAGGCAUCAAGGCUU